rnacentral:rRNA from 1 species
AUAAGUUAGAUGUGAAAGCCCCGGGCUCAACCUGGGAAUUGCAUUUAAAACUGUCCAGCUAGAGUCUUGUAGAGGGGGGUAGAAUUCCAGGUGUAGCGGUGAAAUGCGUAGAGAUCUGGAGGAAUACCGGUGGCGAAGGCGGCCCCCUGGACAAAGACUGACGCUCAGGUGCGAAAGCGUGGGGAGCAAACAGGAUUAGAUACCCUGGUAGUCCACGCCGUAAACGAUGUCGAUUUGGAGGCUGUGUCCUUGAG